GUAAAGCUGAAUAGCAGCAGUAAGAGUGAACAUUCUUGUCCUUUUUGCUGUCCUUUUGACAGAUCCUGGUUGCUGUCUUUUCAAAAUGAAUCUUGGUGACUCUUCCAGAAAGGAGAUAGUAAAGCCUUUCUGCUGAAUUAAGGAGUAUCUUCAUCAUCUCCUCCUGCCUUCUUGCCUUGAAGAUGUAUGAAAUGUGGAUUUCUCAUAAAGGACAAAUGACAUCCAUAUUUCUCUCUCAAAGGUCCCUCUGGAACAGCUUCAUCCUUUCAGCAGCAGAGGUUUAAUAUGUGAAAGGAGUUUAACACCUUUCUUUUUUGGCCCCCUCCAGGGAUUCAGUGAGUAUGUUAGUCAGCUUUCCAUCACUAUGACAAAAUACAUGAGAAAAAUCAACUUAAAGGAUAAUGAUUUUUUUUUUUUUUUGACUCAUGGUUUCAGGAGUUUCAGUCCAAGGUCACUUGGCUGUGUUGUUUUGGGGUCUCUGGUAAGGCAGAACAUGAUGGUGGAAGGUCCUGGUAAAGGAAAGCUGUCAUCUCAUGGCGGCCAGACAACAAAAAGAAAAGGGACCCAGGGACAAGAUGUAGCCUUCAAGGGUAGGCCCCCCAGUGACCUGCUUCUUCCAACUAGGCCCCUACUCCUGAAGUUCCCACUAUUUCCCAAUAGUGCCACCAGCUGGGUAUCAAGCCUUCAACAUAUGAGCCUUUGGGGACAUUCCAGAUUCAAACUGUAACAGUGAAGGAAAAAUGAAAAUUAUGGUGCUUAGAACUCUGAUGCAAGAUCUCGCUAAAUUCCAGAAGGAACUAGGAUGAUGCUCACAAGAACCUGACAGCUGAGAGCCUCCUAGGCACUGCGGGAUGCUCUGAUGUGCUCCCUGCUAUAUUCCAGCUGCCUGUGCUUUCUUCUCUCCCAUGCUCUUCAGAGCAC
rnacentral:lncRNA from 1 species